UACGUAGGGUGCAAGCGUUGUCCGGAAUUAUUGGGCGUAAAGAGCUCGUAGGCGGUCUGUCGCGUCUGCUGUGAAAACCCGGGGCUCAACCCCGGGCUUGCAGUGGAUACGGGCAGACUAGAGUUCGGUAGGGGAGACUGGAAUUCCUGGUGUAGCGGUGAAAUGCGCAGAUAUCAGGAGGAACACCGGUGGCGAAGGCGGGUCUCUGGGCCGAUACUGACGCUGAGACGCGAAAGCGUGGGGAGCAAACAGG
rnacentral:rRNA from 1 species